UUAUAACUGGAGGAAGGUGGGGAUGACGUCAAGUCAUCAUGGCCCUUACGACCAGGGCUACACACGUGCUACAAUGGCAUAUACAAAGAGAAGCGACCUCGCGAGAGCAAGCGGACCUCAUAAAGUAUGUCGUAGUCCGGAUUGGAGUCUGCAACUCGACUCCAUGAAGUCGGAAUCGCUAGUAAUCGUAGAUCAGAAUGCUACGGUGAAUACGUUCCCGGGCCUUGUACACACCGCCCGUCACACCAUGGGAGUGGGUUGCAAAAGAAGUAGGUAGCUUACCCUUCGGGAGGCGACGCCUUCACGCACUGUGUGAUUACAUGACUGGGGUGAAGUCGACAAGUGUCG
rnacentral:rRNA from 1 species